UUCAAGUUGGAUUUUCAAAAAGCUUUCGACUCCGUCAGCUGGUCAUGCCUUCUCAACGUUUUAUCUAUCCGAGGUUUCCCUCAGCGUUGGAUCAGUUGGAUUGAAUGCCUGCUGUCCAUGCCAACCUCUCGCGUCAUGUUGAAUGGGGAGCUGGGUGACUCUUUUGCUAAUAAGCGAGGCUUCAGACAGGGCGAUUCCAUAUCGCCAUAUCUUUUUAUUCUAGUGGCUGAUGUUCUACAACGCCUU
rnacentral:rRNA from 1 species